rnacentral:sRNA from 1 species
AUGUUCGUAAAAUCAUUUGAUAUUGAGUUCAACAAUGAGACCCAAAAACUAAAAUUGUUUUGCAGAAAAUUACAUAUUCAUUCAUCCAUACAAUACAACGCACGCAAAUAACUGAGCAAUUUGUGCUGUGUGAGAGCCCGACAGCAUAAAUGAACAGUUUGGGGUUGCGGAUAAAUCAGUUUUACUACAAGGAAAUGCUUCAUCUGUACACACAUCCCUCUCAGCCUUAACGCAACAUGUAAAACAUUUGUUAUCAUCUGGCGUCCGUCCUCGGAGAAGUUUUCUGUUUACUACUCUCUACAACUCGACCUUUCUCCACGGUAACAGACAAAUGGCUCUCCGAUUUUCCUCUGUCCAGGCUAUGCUGCUGCUGUUGGCUUUCAGAUCUCUUUCCUCCUCUCUCUGAAUGACUCUCCGCUUUCCUAAGUUUCUCCGGUUUCUCUGAUGUGUAUUGGAGCGACUGGCUUUUAUCCAAAUUUUGAGCAGGGCCACGGCCUUGAAGCUCAUUUGCUAUUUGGCUCCGCCGCUCCUUCAAAAAAUUCAGUCGCGAUGUCA